AGCAGGGGGAAUAACACAGGGCUGUGAAUGAGUCCUGUCACUGUGAUCAGGCUCCUCCUUCUAAUCCACCAACUUAGUGUUGAUGAAGACUAAACAGAGAGAUCACAGCUUCUUUAUACUUGCUGUAGCUCACAGUUACUCUACACUGCAGAUAUGACGCCUCUGUUCAUCUCAGUGCUGCUGGCUGCUAUGUGCCUCGAAUGCAGAGCACAAAAAGACAACGUGCUGCAAGCAAAAGGAGAAGAGACUGCUGCUGCAGGAGGCACAGUAACACUUCACUGUCUCUAUAACAGCAGCACAACAACAGCUCCUUCUCUCUUCUGGUACAAACAGGAUGGAAACAACAGCCCCAAAUUCAUCCUGAGUCGUGUUAGCAGGGAUGAUGGAAACACAGCAGAUGAGUUCAAGGAGAGAUUUUCAUCCACACUGGAUUCUAGCAUCAGAUCAGUUCCUCUGAAGAUCCAGAAGCUUCAGCUGUCUGACUCUGCUGUGUACUACUGUGCCCUG